CGCACACCCCUCCAGGAGCAGCCACCAGCCUCCCCUCGAGAGCCAUCGCUGGGCUGCUGGGCCUCCAGGGGCAGGUGCUGACAGAGGGGACAGCCGACGAGAGGCAGGAGGUGCUGCCCUGGGAGAGGCAGCAGCGGAAAUCACUGUGGGAAGGGGGCGGCUGUGGUGGCCAUGAUGUGGUUUCUCCAGGGCCCCUGUGGUGACAGCCUGGGCACUGUGCCUGCUUCCUGUGGCUUCUUCACCCCCAGAGAGCCCUCGCUGGGGCACGUCCUCUUUCCCCGGGGCUGGGGCUGCAGCUGGGAGCCCAGAAGGGACCCUUCUCAGACCCUGGAGACCUCCCACUCUUUAUCUCCUGGGAUGCUGGAGCUGGCACCCCCGUUUUAUAGAAGAGGAAAUUCAGGUUCAGAGAGGGACAGUGGCUGGUCCAGGACCACACAGCGGAAGAGCUGUGCCAGGCACCCACAGCUGUUGGCUCUUCCCCUUUCCUGUCUCAUUUCCCCACACUCCUCAAGGUGAAUCCUGGGAUUACAUCCAAGCAAACAACUCGCACUUGAAUCCUUGUUCUAGGUGGGCUUCUGGGGGCACUGAAUGGAGACAUUCAGUCAGUCAUCAAGCACGAUUGCACUCCUACCCUGAGCCCAGCCCCUGUGCACACAGGACAGGCCCUAAAAGUGUUAUUUAUAACCCCGAUUUGUGGAGGAAGUGGGUAAGAGCCUGGACUCUGGGUUCAAAUAUCCAGUCUACACCUACUGGACGUGUCACUUCACCUUCCUGUGCCUCAGUUUCCUCAUUGGUGAAGUGGGAUCGUGAUGGUGCCUUCCCCACUGGAUUGAUGUGAGUUAAAUGAGCUAACAUAGGGAAGAGCCGAGGAGACAGCCUGCGUGGUGGUCUCCGCGUGGGCACCUCCUGUGUGCCACAAGCCUGCACAGAGGGCUUGGCCCAUGCGGUCACUGAUGAGGCAGGGGCCUUCACACCUCCACCUCACAGAUGCCAGGCGGAGGGUCGGCAGGAUUGGAAGUGGCCAGGUGCUCACAGCUGGUAAGGGGUGGUGUCGAGAUGGAACCUGGGCCAGGCUGACUCAGACACCCCGGCCCCGCCGACAGGGCGGCUGUGACUCAAGUUUGCAGGAAAGGGGGAAGGGUGGGGUAAGCGGCACAACCACUGUUUUCUCAGAAGUGGAAAUGCAUUUGGUGACAUCUAAACAUGGUGUGCUCGGGGCUGGCUGAACUGAGAAGUGGACAGUGACACGGCCUGGGAGUUUCUUAACACAACUGGCUUGACAAGGCCACGGGGAGGUGUGUGGCCUCAGCAGCGGCAGCUGGCUUUCAACCUGGGCCUCUGACGCCUGGGCUUGGCCACAACUGUGACUUGGGUUCAAUCCCCGGCAGUAGGGGAUGCCCAGGCUGGCACAGGAGCCCCGAGUCCUCUCUGGCUCUGCCCCAACCUUCCUGGACCAUCCUCACACCCAGGAAGGCCUCUUGGGCUCCUUGGAUACCGGAGGAGAGGCAAGCAGCUGGGACAAGUGGGUCCCCCGGCCUGCCCCGCCUGGAGGGCUGGGAGUCAGAGAAUUUAGAGGGCUCCCGGGAAAAGCCAGAGCCCAGACCAGGGAGAGCCUGGACCCCCAGGGCCCAUACCUGGUGAGCAGGGCACCCUCGAGCUAUAAGCCGGGUGAGGCAUCUGCACCACGCAGGAGCUGGCGGCUCCCCCCGCUCCCAGAGCCCGCACGCCUGAGCACAGGGAUGGCCCCUUGGCCCAUCUGCCCUGUGGGUGGAUGCCUUCCAGCCCGGGCCCUGGACUCCAGCUAUCCAUCGGCAGGAACCUGGACUCCUGGGGGGUGCAGCCUGGACAUUGGGUCGGGUGGCAUGGUCCUGAGCACUUCUUGGGGCCAUUCAAAUAGCCAUCAGUUCAAAUCUUUGCUGAGCACGCAGUGUGUGCCAGGCCCUGAUCUAGGCUCUGGGGAUUCUGCCGUCAACAAGACAGACAGAAGCCCCCGCCCUCUCAGAGGGGAGGGAGACGAUGAGCAGAGAAAUCAGCAAGGGACAGCACCCCCAACUUGCAGCGAGGAAGCUGAGGCUCCGAAAGCACCCCUGCACCCAUCUGAGGUCCUGCAUUGUCCGCGCCGAGCUGCGUGCGACUCAACGCGGCUCCCGAACCGGCUGUUUGUGCCGUGUGCCGGGUACAGCUGCCAGCUCCUCCCACCCAGCCACAUUCUGUCAAGCUGGGGCUUACAGAGUGGCUUCCGCUGGGGAUGUCUUGUCUUCCAUCCUUCACUCAACGAACACAGUCAGACAUCAGGCUCUGUGGCCAGAAUCUUGCAGGACAGUCUCGGCCCUCCCUCACGAAGUACCAGACCACAGGGUGACAGAACCUAAACUGUCUGUCACCAUCUAGGAGGCAGGUGCUAGGAGGGUGAGCAGCUGGAGAAGGCCCUGAAGGUGGCCCGUGGCCAUCAAAGAAUUUCCCGGGGAGGAUGCCUACUGAAUCCUCUAAAGCCUGUCCGCUCUCAGCCGGGCCAGCUGCUGCAAGGGGCCUGAGGGGUGGAGAGGGAGCUCCAGGCAGAGGGAGCAGCAGGCAAGGAAGCUCAGAGGCCAGCAUGUGCAGCCCAUCUAAGGGAUCCCAGAUGAUCGGGGCCCCGCAGUGCAGGAUGAUGGGGGAGCAGUGCCAACAGAUGAGCCCAGAGAUGGCUUGCCCACUCGGGAGCUGUUUCCUACUCUGCUCAGCGGGUGAUCACAAGGAAGCCGAGAGAACAGGGGUGGCAAGGGGCCCUGGGAGGGCCUCGGGCUGCCUGGGCAGGUCCCAGCUGGCGGGCUUGUCCCUGCUGCCUUUGCCUGAGCGUGUGGGAGGCUCGCGCCCAGCAGCCCAGACGGAGAGAAUGGAGGUACAAUUUUGUUCUCAUCUUUUGCUCAGAGCCUCUUAGAUAAGCA
ensembl:lncRNA